CGUGGGAAGUACCUAGACUGGUGCCUGAGACAUAGCACUCAGACUUCAGACAGCUUGUCGAGGACCCUCUGAAGAAAUCUUUCUGGUCUCGGUGUCAAGAAUGGGACUCUCAGUGUUGUCUACAUGAACAAAAUGACGUCUCG